rnacentral:rRNA from 1 species
AUGUACAAAUUGGAUAAGUAUAACAAAUCUAUUAGAUUUCUAUUAGAUUUGUAUGUUUUUAUUCAUAACCAUCAGUCUACAAUCACCACUCUACUCUGCCUUUCACUUUGCAGCCCACGCUCAGGUCUUACUCUAGCUCUCUUCUGGAGUGGUUGUGACCCCACCACGCGCAAGGUAUUCACCAAGAACCAGAAGGUUUUGGACACCAUGGGUAUGGCUACAUUCGUGGAUGUAGGAAAUUUGCGGCCAUUUCAAUUAAGCCUUUUUACACCUAGUGGUGCAUUCAUAAUAAUUAUGAUAUAUGCAUACCAAAUUAUUAGUCUUCACCUUUUUUAA